rnacentral:rRNA from 1 species
UACGUAGGGGACCAGCGUUGUCCGGAUUUACUGGGCGUAAAGGGCGCGCAGGCGGCUGGUCAAGUCGGGGGUGAAAGCCCCCGGCUCAACUGGGGAGGGUCACUCGAUACUGAUCGACUUGAAGGCAGGAGAGGGAAGCGGAAUUCCCGGUGUAGUGGUGAAAUGCGUAGAUAUCGGGAGGAACACCAGUGGCGAAGGCGGCUUCCUGGCCUGUUCUUGACGCUGAGGCGCGAAAGCUAGGGGAGCAAACGGG